AACCUCCGCAAUGUGAGAAAUCGCGACGGGGGGAUCCCAAGUGCCAUUCUUAACGGGAUGGCUUUUCAUUAGUGUAAAGAGCUUUUGGAAUAAGAGCUGGGCAAGACCGGUGCCAGCCGCCGCGGUAACACCGGCAGCUCUAGUGGUAACAAUUUUUAUUGGGCCUAAAGCGCCCGUAGCCGGUUUAAUAAGUCUCUGGUGAAAUCCUGUAGCUUAACUGUGGGAAUUGCUGGAGAUACUAUUAGACUUGAGACCGGGAGAGGUUAGAGGUACUCCCAGGGUAGAGGUGAAAUUCUGUAAUCCUGGGAGGACCGCCUGUUGCGAAGGCGUCUAACUGGAACGGUUCUGACGGUGAGGGACGAAAGUUAGGGGCGCGAACCGGAUUAGAUACCCGGGUAGUCCUAACUGUAAACGAUGUGGACUUGGUGUUGGGGUGGCUUUGAGCUGCUCCAGUGCCGAAGGGAAGCUGUUAAGUCCGCCGCCUGGGAAGUACGGUCGCAAGACUGAAACUUAAAGGAAUU
rnacentral:rRNA from 1 species